AUACGGAGGGUGCAAGUGUUACUCGGAAUCACUGGGCGUAAAGCGCGCGCAGGCGGUCUUUUAAGUUGGAUGUGAAAGCCUACGGCUCAACCGUAGAACUGCAUCCAAAACUAUUAGACUAGAGUGUGGGAGAGGAAGAUGGAAUUAGUUGUGUAGGGGUAAAAUCCGUAGAGAUAACUAGGAAUACCAAAAGCGAAGGCAAUCUUCUGGAACACUACUGACGCUGAGGCGCGAAAGCGUGGGGAGCAAACAGGAUUAGAUACCCUAGUAGUCC
rnacentral:rRNA from 1 species